UAUCGUAGGUUAUCUCCAACUUUACGUCGUUCUUAUUCGUAUCAUGUACGAACGCGUUAUAGUCGUGUAAUAUUAUUAUAUUAAGAGUGAUGAAUUAAUUAUCUAAUUAAUAUCGCGUUUAUAUUAAUAACUAGUGAUAAAAAUUAUGAUUAUCUUUUCAUAAUUUUCAUAAGUGUAUAUCCGAACACGGAGUAUAAACUCGAAUUAAUGCUGUGAUCGUUACACUCAUAUUAUAUAAUAUCGCGUCCGAUUUUAAAAUAAUGAGGAUAAAUGUGUAGAAGUUGUAGUAGAGAAUAAAUAUAUUCUAAUACAUUAAAUUCGAAAACGCGACAGUAAUUGUGUUGUGAUAAUCGCAAGUGGCCGAACAUUAUUUGUUUUUAUCCUUGACUCGCGUUAUAAAAUUAAUAUCUAAAUAAAUAUUAAAUCAAAUAUUAAAUCAAUAAAAAAUUAACAGUAUCAUAGCGUACUUCCGACAGUUCGGGCGACAGUCUUCCGACAAUAUCAUAUCAUGGCAUUUUACGCGCAUCCUUUCUUAUCGAGUUUGAGUUUUUGCGACUGAACAUUGGCAGCAUUGAGUGAUUAUAUUCCGCGGCAUAUUUUACAUUAUAUACUCAUUUAAAAAAUUGAACGUGUGACGGCAGCGCGCUGUAUAAAGUGACACGGACAAUUAAGAUCAAGAUUAAUCGAGAUUGGAUCAAUCUGACGCAUGCUUUUUCUCGUCGAGUUUUGCGGGCAGCUGAAUUGGCAGCUGUAUGAUUUAAUAUUUCGCGUUAUUUUUACUCAUCCAAAGUAUAUCGUGUGUCGUGUAACACGGGAGUGUCGUGUGUGUGUGAAUAACGGACAAUUGAGACAAUUUAGAUUGUUGUCGAAAACUUCCUUGUGUAUUUUCCAUUGUUGUGCGUCGUGCAUCCGGUGGAAUCAAGAUGCCGAGACCGACGAAGAUGAUAAAAAAUCUGGCCGAUCGGCGUUACAACUAACCGAGGAGUCUCCACACUGUGCCGUCUCUCAAGGUUCUCUCUCGCCUCUUUGCCUGCUAUGCGGCCUACUGCGGAUACUCGGGAAAUGUCUACUAAAGAAGAAUGCGAGUGAGCGCGCAGACUCGCCGAGCAAACCGCCUCAAUCAUCGACGGCCUUUGCGGGAAAUGAUAGAUCGCGUUAUCGUUAAUGACAUUUCGCGGCCAGUUUUCGCGGCCAGACUUUCGCGGCCGUCGACGAGGAAUACGAGGGUCGGCGACGAGACAAGAAGGUAGGUCAGGCAAAUCGAUGUGUCGGCGACACAUGUGUAACGCACAGCUAAGUAACGUGUUAAAACCCCGCGAGCGUCCCGACUAUGCUUUCAGCAUAUUUGCAUAGGAUUCUCUCUCUCUCUCUCUCUCCAGUAGGUAGCGUCAGCUACCUAUCUAUGGUACGCGAGUAGCACUCGCCGAACGUUUACGUAGCAACGCAAAAUGACAGCGCUACCAUUACGCAUACCCAGAAUGGCCGGGAUACUUAAUGAUCGGUAUUCCGAUUACGCCUAUGCACAUCGGAGCGCAUCUUCGAAUCGUGUAUGGCCGAGACAUCGGAUCACUGCAAGUAGAACGAGCCUGGCGAUCCUUAAAGCGAUGGAGAUCAGACCUCUCCGCUCGUCUUAUGACAAGAAUGUGACACGAAUACUAAUCACCAAUCUGACGUCACAAUCGUAAGAUUUAUUUCAGUACCGAAUUUUUGUUUUGCACGUGUCUAUGUGUAUAUAUUCCUUGCGACAGAAUUGAUGUAAUAUUGUAUAGUAUUAUUGCGAUCAUUCUUGAUAAAAAUAUUGUUUUAUAUUACGUUGCGUUAGCGCGCGAUGCAAGAUUAAAACAUGUCAAAGAUUAUCGAUGACAGAGAAAACAAACUCGCUUUGUAGUUUCUUAUUCUUUGUAGCUUAUUCUCAGUUUGAAAAACAAUUCAUGAAGUAAUAUCGUGUGUUGGAGCAAAAAAAUGUUUGAUCAAAGACAUAAAAAGUUUCAUUAAAACUUCUUUGAUCGCUGAAACAAGUAAAAAAAAGUAUGCUGCCAAUUAUGCACUCCAGUUACGCAAUGACCUACUGAUUAUUAAAGAUUAAAAUGCUGUAAUUACGCAACAGAAGUAAUGAAUUGAUUUUAUGCGAGAACACUACCAUACACAUUACAUACACAAACACAUAGAUUACACAUCUAUUUCUUUUAAUUAUGUUUUACACAACUGCUGCUAUCAAUAGUGGCCUCAAAUAUUGUCUAUUUUAUCUUUUCUCACGCUUAUAAAAAUAUACAAAAAUCUUAAAAUCUUAUCUUUUUUAAAAAUGAGAAUACAUAAAGCGAAUUAAAAGAAGAGAGAAACGCGCAUAGAGUCAUAUAUUGUAAUAGUCUACGUCGUAGCUUCACAUAAUAUGGAAGGCAUUCCUACAUAUCCAAGAAGAGUUGGAUAUUCUAAAGUACGAAAAGUUCCCGAGUUUUCUUGAAUUUUCAUUACGUACCAUCCGGGAGCAAGGCGGAAAGGUCUCCAAAGGGGAAUCACGGUAACAUCAGAAGCACAAGCGCCUCAGGUUCUAUCUCCGCAACGCGUAAUUCAAGACCCUGCUCGCCGUUCGAUUAUAAUUUCAUUUGCACGGCAACUCGCACGAUGAAUGUGGCGAUGCCGAUCUAUUCCCUCUAAUUAAAUCCUAUGUACCAACCGAGGUAUGUUACGUUCAAUUUAAAAAUCGUCGGUCGUAAGGAUCGUCGAUCCUUACGAUGGGCGCCAGACUCGAGUAUCGGACAUAUGUAGACUCACUCACCUCAGUU